rnacentral:rRNA from 1 species
UACGUAGGGUGCAAGCGUUGUCCGGAAUUAUUGGGCGUAAAGAGCUCGUAGGCGGUUCGUCGCGUCGGCUGUGAAAACCUGAGGCUCAACCUCAGGCCUGCAGUCGAUACGGGCGGACUUGAGUACUGCAGGGGAGACUGGAAUUCCUGGUGUAGCGGUGAAAUGCGCAGAUAUCAGGAGGAACACCGGUGGCGAAGGCGGGUCUCUGGGCAUGAUCUGACGCUGAGGAGCGAAAGUGUGGGGAGCGAACAGG